rnacentral:lncRNA from 1 species
AUGAGUGUGUUCGAUCCACUUUAUCUUCUGUGACUUCCUUCUUUGCAACUGCAGCUUUUUCCUAAAGCCUAGCUAGCCUAUUUUCUCUGUCUUGGCACUUACAAAAUUUGGCUCAUCAGAAAUUUCCAAGGCUUGUUUCUUAUUCUUGCAAGUGGUAUCUAGAAUACAGAUGUCCUCAGAGAAAUUUCCUAGGCUGCUAUACCAUUUGUUGCUCUGCCUUGGGUGACGCCUGUGAGGAACUCCCUGCAGUAGUGGAGGCUGUGACAUUUUGGAUGGCUUUGUCCGCGGUGAUAUGAGCCGCUCGACUGCCUUGCGCGGCAGGCUGGAGUUUUGUGCUGCAGGACCCUGUGGAAAGGUCGCUGUGACUUGAAGCCUAGGCCUAGGUCCUGUUCCUUGCCCAGUUGCAGCCCCCAUCUGACCUUGGCUAUUUCUGUUUCCCCCUCUGUUUCCAGCAGGGGAAGGUGGAAGGGUGGGAUGUCCUUUUCCCUCCAUAGAAGGCAGAGGCCUGCUGGCUUUGGCUGGACUCAAGGUGCCUCUAGAGAUGGAGGAAAAAGAUCUAAAACUGCAAGUGUGACUUGCUCUUGGUUCUCUGUGACAUAGCAGACGAGGCAGUAGCAGGCACUCCUUACACAGCUCAACUGUGCAUCCUUCUUGUGCACCCUGCCCUGGUGAUUUAGUAGACCUAAGGGAGCAGCUGCUGAGGAAGCAGGAGAUUGCAGGGUGGAUCAGGCCUCUCUGCCCUCCCGUCGGUUCUGUGCUGUUAACUGCUGCGAAGGGAAAUGCAGGAGCCCAGCGAGUGUGGGGGGAAAUAAUCCUCCAUACCAUUCAUACUUGAGACCAGGAGGAGGCGUAAGAGCUAACAGUUGGCUCGCCCUGAAGCGCCAGCAGAGAAGCAGGCCCUGUCUUGAUGAAUGCUGCCUCAGUGAAGGGGGGAAACUCACAACGUCUUGAAAUCGUUUGGGUUUUCUCAGAAUCACCAGUCUGUGCUGAAGAGAAAAGCCCUCUUGAUUUUGCUGGCUGUUCAGAGGCUGGGCUGGCUCAGUAUGUAUUGAGAAGCAGGUUUCAGAGCACUGCUGUUGCUGUUACAGUGAGAUGGUUUACUACUGAAGAAAGGAGAAGGCGCCAUAAUCAGCGUGCCAUAAUCAUAUCCUGAGCGCUUGCUUGGUGUCUGUUUUCCUAAGUUGAGAAAUCAUUUUUUUUCUUUAGUAAUGGAUUAUUUCAAUGAGCUGUCAAGCACACAGAAUAGGCUUAGAAAGGCACUAACCAGGAGUCAUGUUUACUAAAAAGCCUUGCUGAAAUAGAGGGACCAGUUGGUACAAGCUAUCAAAAGGAGGACCGAAGAGCAAGAGGCGCCUGUGCUGCCUGCCACCACCCCGAGCCGUGCAGAGAGCUGCUUCCAGGGAUGCAUGCUCUGCGUCUUACACCAAACUGUUCAGCUUUCUUCAGUGGCAAACAGGAUCUCAG